rnacentral:rRNA from 1 species
GGCGGUUUAGUAAGUNUGAAGUUAAAGGCAUUGGCUCAANCAAUGUAUGCUUUGGAAACUGUUAGACUNGAGUGCAGAAGGGGAGAGUGGAAUUCCAUGUGUAGCGGUGAAAUGCGUAGAUAUAUGGAGGAACACCGGUGGCGAAAGCGGCUCUCUGGUCUGUCACUGACGCUGAGGCUCGAAAGCGUGGGUAGCGAACAGGAUUAGAUACCCUGGUAGUCCACGCCGUAAACGAUGAGUGCUAGGUGUUAGGUCCUUUCCGGGACUUAGUGCCGCAGCUAACGCAAUAAGCACUCCGCCUGGGGAGUACGACCGCAAGGUUGAAACUCAAAGGAAUUGACGGGGGCCCGCACAAGCGGUGGAGCAUGUGGUUUAAUUCGAAGCAACGCGAAGAACCUUACCAGGUCUUGACAUCCCGAUGCCCGCUCUAGAGAUAGAGUUUUUCUUCGGAACAUCGGAGACAGGUGGUGCAUGGUUGUCGUCAGCUCGUGUCGUGAGAUGUUGGGUUAAGUCCCGCAACGAGCGCAACCCUUAUUGUUAGUUGCCAUCAUUGAGUUGGGCACUCUAGCGAGACUGCCGGUAAUAAACCGGAGGAAGGUGGGGAUGACGUCAAAUCAUCAUGCCCCUUAUGACCUGGGCUACACACGUGCUACAAUGGUUGGUACAACGAGUCGCAAGCCGGUGACGGCAAGCUAAUCUCUGAAAGCCAAUCUCAGUUCGGAUUGUAGGCUGCAACUCGCCUACAUGAAGUCGGAAUCGCUAGUAAUCGCGGAUCAGCACGCCGCGGUGAAUUCGUUCCCGGGCCUUGUACACACCGCCCGUCACACCACGAGAGUUUGUAACACCCAAAGUCGGUGAGGUAACCAUAUAGG